CUAAGGGCUGGGAGUGGAGGCCAGUGAGGAGGCUGGAAGAGGUCUUCUCAUGAGGGUAAUUGACAAUUCUUAGCACGGUGUCUCAUUUCUUUGGAGAAAAAAGAGAUGCCUUUGGAAUCUCUCACAUUCACUGACUCUCUGUCCCUUCCCUUCCCCUCCCCUCCCUUCCCCCUCCUCUUAUGUCUUCUCAGUUUCCCUGUGUGUGUGUGUGUGUGUGUGUGUGUGUGUCUGUCUGUCUGUCUGUCUGUCUCUCUCAGUAAUCACCUGCAUACACUUUCUGUGAUAUUCACCCUGGAAGAUCCUCAGCCAAAGUGGGGCUAAACUCUGUAUUUUCAUGUUCGUAUAGCCUCCCCCCAGACGGUGAAUGCAGGUAGCCCUGCUUUGGAGGGUUUGCCUACCAGGUAGGAAAAGAGGCUGCAGGGGGUAGAUUCUGGAAAGAACUCAAAGAGUGGUCCACACGACCCUGACCCCUUCCCGGGAUCCUCCUAUUUCCGCCUGUUCAGUCCAACCUCACUUGGUUGGCUCCCGUAAGUUCCCUGUCUGCCCCUCCUCUGUGUUUCCUGGAACUCUCCACUGCAGAACCAUUUCCAGGAAUAUGACUCAAGAGAUGUCCCCACUCAGCCAGACCUCAGCGUCUUCUUGCUCCCCAGGACACACUUCAUCUCCCUCCACCUCCGCGAGCCCCUCUAAUACACAGAAAUCCAUCUGUGUCUUCUCCAGGCCUCCUCACUUCCUUUCUAGCCACCCUUCCCUUAUGCAAACCCUGGUGCAGCAACUCACCUAAAUUGAACACAGGCUUGGUAAGUAGGGGAAUGGUGUCACUGUUAUAAUGCGGAUCUAUCAUUAAGUCACUUCUGAUUAUUAUCAGCAUGCCAACAGUGUGUGCCCCAAGAAAGAGCAGUUGACUGCAAAGCUCCCUCGCAAGCCACUACAUUCAGUACUACACCCGGUGCCCAUUCGCCCUCAUCCUUUGUCCUAGACUGGUUUAGCAAAAGAAAUGAGCCCGAGACCCUGAGCCAGAGCCACCCCUCAGGGGCAUGUCCACAAUUCACUGGAAGCUCGCAGCUGCCUCCUCCUCACCUGCGGCUUCUGAAGAAGGAUCGAGGGAAAGCCCCUGCCGACCAGCAGCCAGUGGGAAACUCUGAUCCUGCUCCAGGCCUCCGAAUCAGAAUCUGUUGUUUAGAAAACCCUCCAGGGAAGCAUAGGCUCGGGAAAUGCAUCUGGGGCCUGGGGGCAGGCUUUGCUGGGAGCACUUCCCCCUUCCCUCUUCCUCUGGCCUUUAACUGUGGCCCCUGGGGCCGGGAGCAGCUCUGUCACUGGGUAGCUGGGCUCAUUGGUGCCUCUUCCUCCGGGAUCAGAGGUCAGUACCUGCGGCGGCUCUCAUUCCCCUGAGAGCGCCAGCAGCCAGGAGGGCAUUUGCUCUCCCUCUGGCUCCUUCCCCCCAGUCCUGGGCCCUCUGCCCCGCACCCUGUUCUCUCUCCAGCUCCCCUUUCUUGUGCCUUCUCCUCUCGACUUUCCCCUUUUUUCCUCCAGUUCAAUCCCCUGGUUCCUGUCUUUGCCUCCGUUGCUUCGUCUUUAUUGUCACUGCAGAAAGCGAAUACCAAGUUACUAUAUUUGGGGGGGGGGGGAAAGAGGCUUUUUAUAGAGCAGUGGUCCCAAGACUUGUUCACUGACACGCAACCCAUUAAUGGGCACCGUGUCUCACCAUUCCCUCCUCCUGCGAUUCCCUUGGGGUUUCAGGGCCUAUUCUGUGGCUGUACCCGUGCUUGAGCAGACUGGGCGGUGGCUGCGCGGGUGCCAAAGGCUGCACCGACCGAGAGAGUCCGCAGUGGCAAGAGGCGAGGGGGAGGUUUCGGGUGCAAAGGUCUAGAGCGUUCCAGGUUGGAAAGAGCGGUAGGGAGGACGCAGCAGAAGGGUGUCUGAAGAAACUUCGUGAUCU
rnacentral:lncRNA from 1 species